rnacentral:rRNA from 2 species
GGAGGCAGCAGUAGGGAAUCUUCCGCAAUGGACGAAAGUCUGACGGAGCAACGCCGCGUGAGUGAUGAAGGUUUUYGGAUCGUAAAGCUCUGUUGUUAGGGAAGAACAAGUGCGAGAGUAACUGCUCGCACCUUGACGGUACCUAACCAGAAAGCCACGGCUAACUACGUGCCAGCAGCCGCGGUAAUACGUAGGUGSCMMGCGYYGUCCGGAAUUAUUGGGCGUAAAGGGCUCGCAGGCGGUUUCUUAAGUCUGAUGUGAAAGCCCCCGGCUCAACCGGGGAGGGUCAUUGGAAACUGGGAAACUUGAGUGCAGAAGAGGAGAGUGGAAUUCCACGUGUAGCGGUGAAAUGCGUAGAGAUGUGGAGGAACACCAGUGGCGAAGGCGACUCUCUGGUCUGUAACUGACGCUGAGGAGCGAAAGCGUGGGGAGCGAACAGGAUUAGAUMCCCUGGUAGUCCACGCCGUAAACGAUGAGUGCUAAGUGUUAGGGGGUUUCCGCCCCUUAGUGCUGCAGCUAACGCAUUAAGCACUCCGCCUGGGGAGUACGGUCGCAAGACUGAAACUCAAAGGAAUUGACGGGGGCCCGCACAAGCGGUGGAGCAUGUGGUUUAAUUYGAAGCAACGCGAAGAACCUUACCAGGUCUUGACAUC